GGAAGACAAAGGAAAGAUAUCUCCAGAUAAGAUUAAAAGGCCAAUUAUCCUCGUGGUGGAUGAGGUUUUUGUGGUAACUCGUCUGUGACAGUUUAACAAAAACAAACAAGUUGAGGAAUGUUUCGUGGGAGGGCAUUUAAAAGUGGGAGAAAGGAGGUAAAAUCUGAAGCUCGGUGUAACUGGAAGACACCUGGUGAACGCUGUCGACAGGAGGCUCUGACAGAUGGUAAAAGUGACAGACUUUCUGUUAGCGGCGAACGGACCUGGAGUAGGAGCCUCCGGGUCGGGCUCUGAGCUGGUCCACCUCCAGCUGAAGACGCUCCAGCUCUGCAAUCAGCUGAUCCUGGAAGUGAAAAACGACAGUCGGUUCAAAGGAAGAGAAAGUGUGCAGAGAGGAACAGGAAGGCUGCAUGCAGGAGUCGCACCUUGUUUGCUAGCAGAUCGUCUUGGAGCUUCUUCAUGUUGGACAGUUCCUCAGAAAGGGCGUUCUGUAAGGAAGGUUUUAACUCUUCAUCAACAGGAAUUUACACGGCUACAAAGCAGAAUGGAUGUUGAAACAAUGAGAGGAACAUUGAGCUUAAUUAGGGAAAAUAUGGAGAAACAAUGGUGUCUUUAUCCUGCUGAUUGGUUUAAAAUGUACUAAAAUGAUUUAAAAAAUAUGAAAAAAUAAACAUGGAAAAACCUGAAA